UGCUGGGGGAUUAGUGGCGAACGGGUGAGUAACACGUGAGUAACCUGCCCUUAACUCUGGGAUAAGCCUGGGAAACUGGGUCUAAUACCGGAUAUGACUCCUCAUCGCAUGGUGGGGGGUGGAAAGCUUUAUUGUGGUUUUGGAUGGACUCGCGGCCUAUCAGCUUGUUGGUGAGGUAAUGGCUCACCAAGGCGACGACGGGUAGCCGGCCUGAGAGGGUGACCGGCCACACUGGGACUGAGACACGGCCCAGACUCCUACGGGAGGCAGCAGUGGGGAAUAUUGCACAAUGGGCGAAAGCCUGAUGCAGCGACGCCGCGUGAGGGAUGACGGCCUUCGGGUUGUAAACCUCUUUCAGUAGGGAAGAAGCGAAAGUGACGGUACCUGCAGAAGAAGCGCCGGCUAACUACGUGCCAGCAGCCGCGGUAAUACGUAGGGCGCAAGCGUUAUCCGGAAUUAUUGGACGUAAAGAGCUCGUAGGCGGUUUGUCGCGUCUGCCGUGAAAGUCCGGGGCUCAACUCCGGAUCUGCGGUGGGUACGGGCAGACUAGAGUGAUGUAGGGGAGACUGGAAUUCCUGGUGUAGCGGUGAAAUGCGCAGAUAUCAGGAGGAACACCGAUGGCGAAGGCAGGUCUCUGGGCAUUAACUGACGCUGAGGAGCGAAAGCAUGGGGAGCGAACAGGAUUAGAUACCCUGGUAGUCCAUGCCGUAAACGUUGGGCACUAGGUGUGGGGGACAUUCCACGUUUUCCGCGCCGUAGCUAACGCAUUAAGUGCCCCGCCUGGGGAGUACGGCCGCAAG
rnacentral:rRNA from 1 species